GUAAGCGAUGAAUACUAGGUGUGGGGGGUCUGACCCCCUCCGUGCCGGAGUUAACACAAUAAGUAUUCCACCUGGGGUGUACGGCCGCAAGGUUGAAACUCAAAGGAAUUGACGGGGGCCCGCACAAGCAGUGGAUUAUGUGGUUUAAUUCGAAGCAACGCGAAGAACCUUACCAGGGCUUGACAUCCAACUAACGAAGCAGAGAUGCAUUAGGUGCCCUUCGGGGAAAGUUGAGACAGGUGGUGCAUGGUUGUCGUCAGCUCGUGUCGUGAGAUGUUGGGUUAAGUCCCGCAACGAGCGCAACCCUUAUUGUUAGUUGCUAACAGGUUAAGCUGAGCACUCUAAUGGGACUGCCCGUGACAAGCGGGAGGAAGGUGGGGAUGACGUCAAAUCAUCAUGCCCUUUAUGAUCUGGGCUACACACGUGCUACAAUGGAUGGUACAGAGAGCAGCGAGGCCGCGAGGUGGAGCGAAUCUCAAAAAGCCAUUCUCAGUUCGGAU
rnacentral:rRNA from 1 species